rnacentral:rRNA from 1 species
AGGACGAACGCUGGCGGCGUGCUUAACACAUGCAAGUCGAGCGAGGCUCCUCCUUCGGGAGGAUGCCCUAGCGGCGAACGGGUGAGUAACACGUGGGCAACCUGCCCCUAGCACUGGGAUAACCCCGGGAAACCGGGGCUAAUACCGGAUACGACUUCGGAAGGCAUCUUCUGAGGUGGAAAAGGUUACUGGCUAGGGAUGGGCCCGCGGCCUAUCAGCUUGUUGGUGGGGUAAUGGCCCACCAAGGCGACGACGGGUAGCCGGCCUGAGAGGGCGACCGGCCACACUGGGACUGAGACACGGCCCAGACUCCUACGGGAGGCAGCAGUGGGGAAUAUUGCACAAUGGGCGAAAGCCUGAUGCAGCGACGCCGCGUGAGGGAUGACGGCCUUCGGUGUAAACCUCUUUCAGCAGGGACGAAGCGAAAGUGACGGUACCUGCAGAAGAAGCACCGGCCAACUACGUGCCAGCAGCCGC